rnacentral:rRNA from 1 species
CGUAGGUGGCAAGCGUUGUCCGGAUUUACUGGGCGUAAAGGGUAUGCAGGCGGAUACUUAAGUAGGAAGUGAAAGGUUGGAGCUCAACUCCAACACUGCUUCCUAUACUGGGUGUCUUGAGUGGCGGAGAGGAAGACGGAACAAAUCGUGUAGCGGUGAAAUGCGUAGAUAUGAUUUGGAACACCAAUGGCGAAAGCAAUCUUCUGGACGCAAACUGACGCUGAGAUACGAAAGCUAUGGUAGCGAACAGGAUUAGAUACCCUGGUAGUCAUAGCUAUAAACGAUGUUCACUAGAUGUCCGGGCUUCGCCUCGGUGUCGCAGCUAACGCAUUAAGUGAACCGCCUGGGAACUACGGCCGCAAGGUUG